GUACAUGCUUAAUAGUCAUGUGGAUAAUAAUUUUAUGUACAAUUAUGCAUAAAAUGUAUUAUGUAAUAUUAGUAUAAAUAUGUACAUGCUUAAUAGUCAUGUGGGUAAUAAUUUUAUGUACAAUCAUGCAUACUAUGUAUUAUGUAAAAUUAAC